rnacentral:rRNA from 1 species
GAUGAACGCUGGCGGCGUGCCUAAUACAUGCAAGUCGAGCGAACGGACGAGAAGCUUGCUUCUCUGAUGUUAGCGGCGGACGGGUGAGUAACACGUGGAUAACCUACCUAUAAGACUGGGAUAACUUCGGGAAACCGGAGCUAAUACCGGAUGAUAUUUUGAACCGCAUGGUUCAAAAGUGAAAGACGGUCUUGCUGUCACUUAUAGAUGGAUCCGCGCUGCAUUAGCUAGUUGGUAAGGUAACGGCUUACCAAGGCAACGAUGCAUAGCCGACCUGAGAGGGUGAUCGGCCACACUGGAACUGAGACACGGUCCAGACUCCUACGGGAGGCAGCAGUAGGGAAUCUUCCGCAAUGGGCGAAAGCCUGACGGAGCAACGCCGCGUGAGUGAUGAAGGUCUUCGGAUCGUAAAACUCUGUUAUUAGGGAAGAACAUAUGUGUAAGUACCUGUGCACAUCUUGACGGUACCUAAUCAGAAAGCCACGGCUAACUACGUG